CAGGCCCUGCAGGCAGCAGAAGUGAGGCACGCGGAGCCCCGGCCCCGGCGGCUGGGGGCACGGCUGGUGGAGACCCACGCCCAGAGAAGAGCCAUGGCGGAGGUCUGACUCAGGAAGGGCUUGGAGUCUGGCUUCCUCACUCCCCUGUGGGGACUGUCUAGUGAAGAGCAAAACAUCCUAAUGCAGGUUCCACCUUGAGACGCUGAUUUAGUUGGUCUGGGGCGUGGCCAGGCCAUUGGGACUGAUAAAACCUUCCUCGGUGAUUCCAACUGUACAGCCAAGAUCUAUUUUGUGGUGGGACUUUCUCCUUGAGUGUGGGCUGGACUUCAGGGCUUAUUUGUGGUGUAGACUUCCAGGACUAGGGAAGCCUCCCCCCUUGCCAUGCUCUCACAACACACUUGAGUUGCCAUGUCGCAAGCACCCUCAAGUAGCCUCUGGAGAGACAAGGAACCGAGGUCUCCUGCCAACAGCCACGUGAGGGAGCCAUCCUGGAAGCAGAACCUCCAGCCUCAGCUUCCUCGUGCUGAAGACCGUUAGAUGGAGCCUAAGCACCAUACUUGGGGGCUAUUUUGUGGGAAAUCACCCAUAAAAAGUACAGAAAUGUGAAGAACAUGGCACUAAGAAGACUGUGACAAGGGUACCCGUUGACAGUAGGAGAGCUGAAACAAGAAGGGGGAGCAUCAGCUGGUUCAGUCUCAGCUGGGAAGAGAGAGAGAGAGCACAAACAAGGGGAGCGGCAGGC